rnacentral:tRNA from 1 species
AAAAGUAUAAUUACUAUUGUAAAAAUAAUUCACUUAAAUAUUUAAAAUUUUAUUAAAUUUUAAUUUUAAAAAAAAAAUUAAUUAUUUUAAUUUAAAACUAUAUACUAAAAACUAUUGAUAGAAAUAUAUAAAAAUACAUAAAUUAUUUAUAAUACAAUAUAUUGUUAUUUUUAAUAUAAACUUUAUUGUUGAUUUUAAAUUUAUUUUUAAAAUUAUUUUUA